GUCUGCCAGUAGUGAUACGCUUGUUUUAAGGAUUAAGCCAUGCAUGUCUCAGUAUAGCGAGUUUACUGUGAAACUGCGAAUGGCUCAUUACAUCAGCUAUCGUUUCUUUGAUAUUGAACGAACUACAUGGAUAACCGUGGUAAUUCUAGAGCUAAUACAUGCGUCAAGACCCGACUUUUUGGGAGGGUUGCUGUUGUUAGAUACAAAACCAGUGCGAGGGGUGGCAACAUUUCUCGAAAACUCAUGGUGAUUCAUAAUAACUGAGCGGACCGCACAUUGGUGGCCCUUGAGCUGCUGGCGGUGAAUCAUUCAAAUUUCUGCCCUAUCAACUUUCGAUGGUACGGUAUUGGCCUACCAUGGUCGCAACGGGUAACGGGGGAUCAGGGUUCGAUUCCGGAGAGGGAGCCUGAGAAAUGGCUACCACUUCCAAGGAAGGCAGCAGGCGCGCAAAUUGCCCAAUCCUGACACAGGGAGGCAGUGACAAUAAAUAACAAUGCGGGGCUUUACGCUUCGCAAUUGGAAUGAGCGCAAUCUAAACCACUCAGCGAGUAACAAUUGGAGGGCAAGUCUGGUGCCAGCAGCCGCGGUAAUUCCAGCUCCAAUAGCGUAUAUUAAAGUUGUUGCAGUUGAAAAGCUCGUAGUUGGACUUUGGCUGGGUGUGUAACGCCUUGUUGNAAUCCAACGACGAAAACAAACCCUUCAAACGCGGGGCCGGCGCCCGGCCCAAACUUCUCGAAGACCUGGUGUGCCCUUAACUGGGCGUGCCGUGAGAUUCGGGACCUUUACUUUGAAAAAAUGAGAGUGUUCAAAGCAGGCUAAUUUAGGCUUGAAUCGUCUAGCAUGGAAUAAUGGAAAAGGACUUUGGUUCUAUUUUUCGUUGGUUUCAGGGACCGAAGUAAUGAUUAAUAGGGACAGUUGGGGGCAUUAGUAUUUAAUAGUCAGAGGUGAAAUUCUUGGAUUUAUGAAAGACUAACUUCUGCGAAAGCAUUUGCCAAGGAUGUUUUCAUUAAUCAAGAACGAAAGUCAGGGGAUCGAAGACGAUUAGAUACCGUCGUAGUCUUGACUAUAAACUAUGCCGACUAGGGAUCGGUGCGGUACAUUUGUGUCCGCAUCGGCACCUUGUGAGAAAUCAAAGUUUUUGGGUUCCGGGGGGUGUAUGGUCGCAAGGCUGAAACUUAAAGGAAUUGACGGAGAGGCACACCAGGAGUGGAGCCUGCGGCUUAAUUUGCUCUCAAGCGGCGGGGAAACUCACCAGGUCCAGACAUGGUAAGGAUUGACAGAUUGAGAGCUCUUUCUUGAUUCUAUGGGUGGUGGUGCAUGGCCGUUCUUAGUUGGUGGAGUGAUCUGUCUGGUUAAUUCCGAUAACGAACGAGACCUUAACCUGCUAAAUAGCUUGACCGUUGCGAAACGGGUAUUCCAUAAAGCUUCUUAGAGGGACAACCGUCGUUUUUUCUUUUUAGACCGGGGGAAGUUUGAGGCAAUAACAGGUCUGUGAUGCCCUUAGAUGUUCUGGGCUGCACGCGCGCUACACUGACGGAGUCAGAGAGUAUGUUACCUUGCAUCGGAAGGUGUGGGCAAUCUUACAAACUCCGUCGUGAUGGGGAUAGAUCUUUGUAAUUAUCGAUCUUCAACGAGGAAUUCCUAGUAAGCGCGGUUCAUCAGAUCGCGUUGAUUACGUCCCUGCCCCUUGUACACACCGCCCGUCGCUACUACUGAUGAAUGUUUUAGUGAGGUCCCCC
rnacentral:rRNA from 1 species